AUUGAACGCUGGCGGCAGGCCUAACACAUGCAAGUCGAACGGUAACAGGGAUCAGCUUGCUGAUUCGCUGACGAGUGGCGGACGGGUGAGUAAUGUCUGGGAAACUGCCUGAUGGAGGGGGAUAACUACUGGAAACGGUAGCUAAUACCGCAUAACGUCGCAAGACCAAAGAUGGGGACCUUCGGGCCUCUUGCCAUCGGAUGUGCCCAGAUGGGAUUAGCUAGUAGGUGGGGUAACGGCUCACCUAGGCGACGAUCCCUAGCUGGUCUGAGAGGAUGACCAGCCACACUGGAACUGAGACACGGUCCAGACUCCUACGGGAGGCAGCAGUGGGGAAUAUUGCACAAAGGGCGCAAGCCUGAUGCAGCCAUGCCGCGUGUAUGAAGAAGGCCUUCGGGUUGUAAAGUACUUUCAGCGGGGAGGAAGGGAGUAAAGUUAAUACCUUUGCUCAUUGACGUUACCCGCAGAAGAAGCACCGGCUAACUCCGUG
rnacentral:rRNA from 1 species